rnacentral:rRNA from 1 species
UACGUAGGGUGCGAGCGUUAAUCGGAUUUACUGGGCGUAAAGCGUGCGCAGGCGGCCCGUUAAGACAGGUGUGAAAUCCCUGGGCUCAACCUAGGAAUUGCGCUUGUGACUGGCGGGCUCGAGUACGGUAGAGGGGGGUGGAAUUCCUGGUGUAGCAGUGAAAUGCGUAGAGAUCGGGAGGAACAUCCAUGGCGAAGGCAGCUACCUGGGCCUGUACUGACGCUCAUGCACGAAAGCGUGGGGAGCAAACAGG